rnacentral:lncRNA from 1 species
GUGCUCUUACAGCCUAUCAGAAAACUCUAUGGCAAAGGCGACAGAAACGCCGCUUCUUCACAGCCCUAAUCUUGGGGAAUUAGGCCUUCUGUUCUCAGCCAUGCCCUACAUUGCUCUAGCGGGGGAAAGCACAAAGCACUGCCUCAAUUCCUCACGGGGAGACAAGCCACAAACAUUCUUGCUUAUAGCACUUUAGGAAGCUGACAAUGAACUCGCUUUACACAGUGCUCUCACAGUGUACACGGACCAUCUCAUUGAAGGGGGAGGGGGGGAAUGCCGUUUCUUUCCAGCCCUGAUCUUGCCGCUUUAGAACUUCUGCUCUCAGCCGUGCCACCCAUUGCUCUAGAAGUGGAAGGCACAAAGCACUUUCUCCGUCCCUCAAGGGGAGACAGGCCACAAACCGUCUUGCUUCUAGCUCCUUAGGAAGCUGAGGAAGAACUCACUUUCAAGAGUGAUCUUACACCUUCUUGGGUACCAGUCCUCCAAAAGCAGGUGAAACGCCGUUUCUUAAAAGCCUUGAUCAUGCUGCAUUAGGCCUUCUGUUCUCAGACAUGCCCUACAUUGCCCUAGAGGUGGAAGGCACAAAGCACUACCUCCAUCCGUCAAGGAGAGACAAGCCACAAACCCUAUUGCUUCCAGCUGUUUAGUAAGCUGAGAAAGAACUCACUUCCCUCAGUGUUCUCACAAUGUACUGAGAACCUCUCCUACAAUGGCGGCUGAAAGGCUUUUUCAUUCCAGCCCUGAACUUGCCACUUUAGAACUUCUGCUCUCAGCCAUAUCUCCCAUUGCUCUAGACGUGGAAGGCACAACCACUGCCUCCAUCACUCAAGGGAAGACAAGCCACAAACAGUCUUGCUUCUAGCUCUUUAGGAAGCUGAGAAAGAACUCACUUUCCACAGCGCUCUUACAGCCUACCGGGAAUAUCUCUUACAAAGACCUGAGAAACGAAGUUUCUUCCUAGCACUGGUCUCGCUGAAGUAGAACUUCUGCUCUGCCAUGUCCUACAUUGCCGUAGAGGUGGAAAGCACAAAGUGCUGCCUUGUUUCCUCCAGGGGAGACAGGCCACAAAGCAUCUUGCUUCCAGCUUUUUGGGAAGCUAAGAAACAACUCGCUCUCCACAGUGCUCUUACAGCCUACCGGGAACAUCUCUUACAAAGGCCUGUGAAACGCAAUUUCUUCCAACCCUGAUCUUGAUGAAGUAGAACUUCUGCUCUGCCGUGUCCUACAUUGCCGUAGAGGUGCAAAGCACAAAGUCCUACCUUGUUUCCUCCAGGGGAGACAGGCCACAAAGCGUCUUGCUUCCAGCUCUUUGGGAAGCUAAGAAACAACUCGCUCUCCACAGUGCUCUUACAGCCUACCGGGAACAUCUCUUACAAAGGCCUGUGAAACGCAGUUGCUUCCCAGCCCUGAUCUUGCUGAAGUAGAACUUCUGCUCUGCCUUGUCCUACGUUGCCCUAGGGGUGUAAAGGAAAAAGAAAUAAAUCGUGGGGCUGGCCCCA